rnacentral:rRNA from 1 species
UACGAGGGGGGCGAGCGUUGUUCGGAAUUAUUGGGCGUAAAGGGUGCGUAGGCGGUUCGGUAAGUUUCGUGUGAAAUCUUCGGGCUCAACUCGAAGUCUGCACGAAAUACUGCCGGGCUUGAGUGUGGGAGAGGUGAGUGGAAUUUCCGGUGUAGCGGUGAAAUGCGUAGAUAUCGGAAGGAACACCUGUGGCGAAGGCGGCUCACUGGCUCAUACUGGACGCUGAGGUGCGAAAGCGUGGGGAGCAAACAGG